rnacentral:rRNA from 1 species
UUGGAGGGCAAGUCUGGUGCCAGCAGCCGCGGUAAUUCCAGCUCCAAUAGCGUAUAUUAAAGUUGUUGCAGUUAAAAAGCUCGUAGUUGAAUUUCGGGAUCAAUAUGUUGGUCGUGCCAUUGGUACGUACUGGCAUUAUUGGUUUCUACCUUCUGAAGAACCUCGAUGUCAUUAAUUUGGUGUCUUGGGGAAUCAGGACUGUUACUUUGAAAAAAUUAGAGUGUUUAAAGCAGGCUCGCGCUUGAAUACAUUAGCAUGGAAUAAUGAAAUAGGACGUUUGAUUCUAUUUUGUUGGUUUCUAGGAUCGACGUAAUGAUUAAUAGGGAUAGUUGGGGGCAUUAGUAUUCAAUUGUCAGAGGUGAAAUUCUUGGAUUUAUUGAAGACUAACUACUGCGAAAGCAUUUGCCAAGGAUGUUUUCAUUAAUCAAGAACGAAAGUUAGGGGAUCGAAGACGAUCAGAUACCGUCGUAGUCUUAACUAUAAACUAUGCCGACUAGGGAUCGGAUGAUGUUAAUUUUUUAAUGACUCAUUCGGCACCUUACGGGAAAC